rnacentral:rRNA from 1 species
UACGUAGAGUGCAGGCGUUAAUCGGAAUUACUGGGCGUAAAGCGUGCGCAGGCGGUCUUUUAAGUCAGAUGUGAAAUCCCCGGGCUUAACCUGGGAACUGCGUUUGAAACUGGAAGGCUAGAGUGUGGCAGAGGGGGGUGGAAUUCCACGUGUAGCAGUGAAAUGCGUAGAUAUGUGGAGGAACACCGAUGGCGAAGGCAGCCCCCUGGGCUAACACUGACGCUCAUGCACGAAAGCGUGGGGAGCAAACAGG